rnacentral:rRNA from 1 species
GGGAAAGUUGAAAAGAACUUUGAAGAGAGAGUUCAAUAGUACGUGAAACCUCUCGGGGGUAAGCGGGCAGAACUUGCAAGUAUUGGCUGGGAAUAUUCAGGCUUAAUGUUGGCGACUGAGAGUGUAUUAUAAAGUUGUCCUUUUGGGGAUUGGCUGAUGUGUGCUCUUUGAUUUGUUGACGAUGCGCCGCAUUUAUUUCCGUCAUCGGGUUGCAUGUGACUGAGCCUGUAGUUUAGGUGCUGAGAUCCUGCGAAGCCUUGUUGUUUCGAGUCUUUGGUUUCCGACUACGGCUGCGGUCAUUAUAUCUUUUACUGGACAGGCGUUUAGGCGCGGUCAAUGGUUUGUACGAGUUGUGUGCAUGUUGUAUGUGGACGGGUAACCGUAGCAUACGAUAUGAGGCUGAUUGUCGGUAUGAGCUAAUUUGGCACUGUCCUUUG